rnacentral:rRNA from 1 species
UAAGGAAUAUUGGUCAAUGGACGAAAGUCUGAACCAGCCAUGCCGCGUGGAGGAUGAAGGCCCUCUGGGUUGUAAACUUCUUUUAUAGGGGACGAAAAAGGGUCUUUCUAGAUCAACUGACGGUACCCUAGGAAUAAGCACCGGCUAACUCCGUGCCAGCAGCCGCGGUAAUACGGAGGGUGCAAGCGUUAUCCGGAUUCACUGGGUUUAAAGGGUGCGUAGGUGGGUUGGUAAGUCAGUGGUGAAAUCUCCGGGCUUAACUUGGAAACUGCCAUUGAUACUAUCAGUCUUGAAUAGUGUGGAGGUAAGCGGAAUAUGUCAUGUAGCGGUGAAAUGCUUAGAUAUGACAUAGAACACCAAUUGCGAAGGCAGCUGGCUACGCAUAUAUUGACACUGAGGCACGAGAGCGGGGAGAUCAAACA